ACUCCUACGGGAGGCAGCAGUGAGGAAUAUUGGUCAAUGGACGCAAGUCUGAACCAGCCAUGCCGCGUGAAGGAUGAAGGCCUUCUGGGUUGUAAACUUCUUUUAUUGGGGAAGAAAAUUACGGUUUCUACUGUAACCGACGGUACCCAAGGAAUAAGCACCGGCUAACUCCGUGCCAGCAGCCGCGGUAAUACGGAGGGUGCAAGCGUUAUCCGGAUUCACUGGGUUUAAAGGGUGUGUAGGCGGGCAUUUAAGUCAGUGGUGAAAUCUCCGAGCUCAACUCGGAAACUGCCAUUGAUACUAUUUGUCUUGAAUAUCGUUGAGGUUGGCGGAAUAUAUCAUGUAGCGGUGAAAUGCUUAGAUAUGAUAUAGAACACCGAUUGCGAAGGCAGCUAACUAAGCGAUGAUUGACGCUGAGGCACGAAAGCGUGGGGAUCAAACAGGAUUAGAUACCCUGGUAGUCCACGCCCUAAACGAUGAUUACUCGACAUACGCGAUACACAGUGUGUGUCUGAGCGAAAGCAUUAAGUAAUCCACCUGGGAAGUACGUCCGCAAGGAUGAAACUCAAAGGAAUUGACGGGGGUCCGCACAAGC
rnacentral:rRNA from 1 species